UGACAUUUGUUUUAGUCACAGGUCACCAGG
rnacentral:piRNA from 1 species